AUGUCGACCGGUGGUGCAGAGUCUGCGGCGGCGGAGGCGAUGGCCUCGGAGGCGUACCUGGCGGGCGACGCUGUGAGGGAGGCGCGGGAGCUGGUGGCGGAGCUCUGCCGCCACUUCUACCUGCAGGGGUGGGUCACCGGCACCGGCGGCAGCAUCACCGUCAAGGCCAACGACCCCGAUGUGCCCCUCGCGCAGCAGCUCAUCGUCAUGUCCCCGUCCGGCGUGCAGAAGGAGAGGAUGGUGGCAGAGGACAUGUACGUGAUGUCAGCAGAGGGCAAGGUGAUAUCUGCACCAGUAGCAAAGCCAUGGCCACACAAGCAUCCAAAGUGUUCAGACUGUGCACCUCUGUUCAUGAAGUCUUAUCUAAUGCGAGGAGCUGGAGCUGUGAUUCAUAGCCAUGGCAUGGAGACUUGCAUAGCAACAAUGAUCAAUCCUGGUGCAAAGGAGUUCAGGAUGACACAUAUGGAAAUGAUUAAAGGAAUCAAAGGUCAUGGGUACACUGAUGAAUUGGUAAUUCCCAUAAUUGAAAAUACUCCUUAUGAGUAUGAGCUCACAGACUCUCUAGCUGAAGCGAUUGCAGCAUACCCUAAGGCAACUGCUGUCCUGGUACGGAACCAUGGAAUUUAUGUGUGGGGUGACUCCUGGAUUAAUGCCAAGACACAGGUAUUCAGUACAUUUUAUGGUCUUGCUUUUCUUCAGGCUGAAUGCUAUCAUUAUCUUUUUGAUGCUGCCAUCAAGAUGUAUCAGUUAGGGAUUGACUGGACAACUCCUGAGCAUGGUCCAAUAAACAGUGCCAAAAGAUUGCGUAGUGUUGCAAGUCCUGGGGUUCCUAAUGGAUGUCAUACAGCCAAAUCAUCAAAGCAUUGUGUUGUACUUGACAUCGAAGGAACAACAACGCCAAUAUCAUUUGUGACUGAUGUUAUGUUUCCUUAUGCCCGUGAUAAUGUGCGGAAGCAUCUGACUUCUACAUACGAAUCCGAGGAAACCAAAGAAGACAUCAAACUUUUACGCAUCCAAAUCGAAGAAGACCUGAGAACCGGAGUUGUUGGGGCUGCUCCAGUUGCACCGGAUUAUGCUGGCAAAGAAGAGGUUAUCAGUUCUUUAGUUGCUAAUGUUGAAGCAAUGAUCAAAGCAGACCGGAAGAUUACAUCAUUGAAACAACUUCAGGGGCAUAUAUGGAGGACUGGGUUUGAAAGGAAAGAACUGCAAGGAGUUGUUUUUGAGGAUGUUCCCGAGGCACUUAAGAACUGGCAAUCUCAGGGUAUGAAGGUUUACAUAUACUCCAGUGGCAGUAGAGAGGCACAGAGGCUACUAUUUGGACAUACAUCUUAUGGUGAUCUGCGGCAAUUUCUGUGUGGUUUUUUCGACACCACAACCGGAAACAAAAGAGAAGCAAGGAGUUAUUUUGAGAUCUCGCAAUCACUUGGGGUGGAUAAUCCGUCUCAAAUCUUAUUCAUCACAGAUGUGUUGCAAGAAGCCGUUGCAGCAAAGAGUGCAGGUUUCGAGGUAAUAAUCUCCAUUCGCCCGGGGAAUGCACCGCUUCCUGCGAAUCAUGGUUUCCGGACUAUCAGUUCCUUCAGUGAGAUCUGA
rnacentral:rRNA from 1 species